rnacentral:snRNA from 1 species
AUAUAUGAAGGCAAUUUGGCUGCAACAUAUGACACCCCAUUAAUUACCAGGGUUCAUUCACCCGAUCUGGCUGGCUAGGCAAGUGUCCUCUUCUUCCCACACUGCUCCAUAUUCAUUCCUACUGGGUCAAGGAGGAUGAUCUUCCCCAAAUAGAAGGCUGGUAUUCAGUCAAAGGUAUAUGAGUAGCUGUGUUCCCUUGCUAGAACCUCCAAACAAGCUCUCAAAAGAAGGCAAUAAGAGGAAUUAUUAUCAAACUACACUAUCUUU